rnacentral:rRNA from 1 species
UAGGGAAUCUUCGGCAAUGGGGGGAACCCUGACCGAGCAACGCCGCGUGAGUGAAGAAGGUUUUCGGAUCGUAAAGCUCUGUUGUUAAGGAAGAACGAGUGUGAGAAUGGAAAGUUCAUGCUGUGACGGUACUUAACCAGAAAGGGACGGCUAACUACGUGCCAGCAGCCGCGGUAAUACGUAGGUCCCGAGCGUUGUCCGGAUUUAUUGGGCGUAAAGCGAGCGCAGGCGGUUAGGAAAGUCUGAAGUGAAAGGCAGUGGCUCAACCAUUGUAGGCUUUGGAAACUGUUUAACUUGAGUGCAGAAGGGGAGAGGGGAAUUCCAUGUGUAGCGGUGAAAUGCGUAGAGAUAUGGAGGAACACCGGGGGCGAAAGCGGCUCUCUAGUCUGUAACUGACGCUGAGGCUCGAAAGCGUGGGGAGCGAACAGG